UUUCCGUAGGUGAACCUGCGGAAGGAUCAUUACCUAGAGUUGUAGGCUUUGCCUGCUAUCUCUUACCCAUGUCUUUUAAGUACCUUCGUUUCCUCGGCGGGUUCGCCCGCCGAUUGGACAAUUUAAACCAUUUGCAGUUGCAAUCAGCGUCUGAAAAAACUUAAUAGUUACAACUUUCAACAACGGAUCUCUUGGUUCUGGCAUCGAUGAAGAACGCAGCGAAAUGCGAUAAGUAGUGUGAAUUGCAGAAUUCAGUGAAUCAUCGAAUCUUUGAACGCACAUUGCGCCCCUUGGUAUUCCAUGGGGCAUGCCUGUUCGAGCGUCAUUUGUACCUUCAAGCUCUGCUUGGUGUUGGGUGUUUGUCUCGCCUCUGCGUGUAGACUCGCCUCAAAACAAUUGGCAGCCGGCGUAUUGAUUUCGGAGCGCAGUACAUCUCGCGCUUUGCACUCAUAACGACGACGUCCAAAAGUACAUUUUUACACUCUUGACCUCGGAUCAGGUAGGGAUACCCGCUGAACUUAAGCAUAUCAAUAAGCGG
rnacentral:rRNA from 1 species